rnacentral:tRNA from 1 species
AUCUAUAAAGUUUAGAAAAACAUUUUAUUUUCAUUAAAAAAUCGAGUUUAACUCUAUAGAUU